AUGCUACCACUUCAGCAGCACAUAUACUAAAAUUGGAAUAAUGCAGAGAAAAUUAGCAUGGCCCCUUUUAGAGAAAAAAAUUUUUAAUAUAUAAUUUUUAAAUGUACAC
rnacentral:snRNA from 1 species